rnacentral:lncRNA from 1 species
ACCGAUCCCAAAUUUUGGCCAUGGACAAGAUGCAACAUCAUGGUUUUAUCAUGGAUCCAGCAGUCAGUCGAACAAGGAAUACGAAGAACGAUUAUGGGAGUCAAAACGGCAGCAGAAGCAUGGCAGAGUCUUAAAUCGAGGUAUGGACAUGGUGAUGUUGUUAGAAUAGCUUAAAUACAAGAGCAGCUUGCUAAUUUAAAGUAAGGAAACAAUUCAGUAACAGAGUAUCAUGGUUUGAUUAUAACAUUACGAGACGAGUUAAGAAAUUAUCAACCUGUUUUAGCAUGUGAUUGCACUGCAACAAGUCACUUUGAUUGUAGAGCCAUGAAAUUGGUAAACCAUUAUCAGGAAACGAACUCAGUAAUACACUUCCUAGUCCACGAGAAUUUUGAAGGACCAAGAGCACAGGUUUUGUUUGGUGAUGACCUGCCUACACUUGAGAAGGUGGUGCAGCGCAUGGUGCAACAUGAGCGACAACUUUAUGGGACACAAAACAAGUAGGGAAAGGUUGAAGGAAUGGCUAUGGCAGGAUUUCAAAGGCACAGUGUACUCAUUGCAAGUUAUGGGGGCACACUGAGGAUAGAUGUUUCUACAAAAACGGUUGGCCAC